rnacentral:rRNA from 1 species
AAUGAACGCUGGCGGCGUGCCUAACACAUGCAAGUCGGACGCGAAAUUUUCCUUCGGGGAGAGAGUAGAGUGGCGCACGGGUGAGUAACGCGUGGGUAACCUGCCUGGGAGUGGGGGACAACAUUCCGAAAGGGAUGCUAAUCCCGCAUACGACAUUACUGCUUAAGUGGUAAUGGGAAAGGUAGCCUCUGUUUACAAGCUAUCGCUCCUGGAUGGGCCUGCGUCAGAUUAGCUAGUUGGUGGGGUAAUGGCCUACCAAGGCGACGAUCUGUAACUGGUCUGAGAGGAUGAUCAGUCACACUGGAACUGAGACACGGUCCAGACUCCUACGGGAGGCAGCAGUGAGGAAUUUUGCACAAUGGGGGAAACCCUGAUGCAGCGACGCCGCGUGGGUGAUGAAGGCCUUCGGGUUGUAAAGCCCUGUCAGU